GGCAAGAAGACUUUGAAUUGGAAUUUUGGCUUUUAAAACAGCAAAAAAAUUAAAAAUUUAUUUAAAAGAGUUGAACAACUUCAACCAUAUUAUAUUUUUAAAUAUCCACAUUUAAUUAUUUGGUUUUUUUAAUUUUUUAAUUUUUAACUUAAUCACCAAAUAUAUUAAAUAAAUUUAAUUUAAUAAAUAUCUUAAUUUUAUUUGUUAAAAUGUUUAAACAUUUAUAAAUAACACACGUGAAUAUAUUAAAAUAAAAUUAUUUAUAAAAAAUAUUUAAAUAUUAUACCAAAAAAUUAAAAUAUUCAAAUGGAUAAAAUUUAAAUAUGCAAAUAUACAUUUUAUUCAAUAAAUUUAUUAAUAAAUUGAAUAUUCAAAUAGGCUAAAUUAAUACGAAAAUAAAAAGAGUUGGUAGUCCGAUUUCAGUUCCGAAAUGGGACUGGAGCAAUGGUUUUAAUUAUAGCUGAACGAAAACAAUCAUAUCAGAGGUUUCAGUUCUACCAUAACUGAAACUGGAAUCCAACAAUCAAUAGCCGGUUCGUUUCAAUUAAAAAAACCGGACGGCUUCAGUUCCAUCUGCUUCCGAACUGGAUUGUUAAAAAUGUAAAAAUAAUAAAAAGUUUAAAGACGUUUUAACUGAAAGGUAUAAUUUUCUAGCUGUUCCUGCCAUCCGAUUUGAGUUUUAUCUUGCUCCACCAUCUACCAUCUAUGAUAUGAACUCAACUUGACUCUUUGUUCCAAAAAAAAGAAAAAAAAGAAAAAAACUCAAACUCAUCUCGACACCACGCAAUUGAACAUGUGAAAAAUAACAUAUAGCAGCAGUUUGUUGAAGCCUUGGGGAGGGAGAGAAAAAGAAAAAUUAAAUAAACAAAGGUGAGGCAGAGGUGGAGGCGGAGGCAGCAGGCGCGGAGGCUGUGUUCGGCGGCAGCGGCAAGCAAAGUCUUUUUAGUAACUUCUCUUUGCUAUCUUUAUUUGAUGAGCAAGAUUGGUAAAUAAAGAAAAGGGAAUACAUUUAAGAGAGAUCUGAAAAUAAA
rnacentral:lncRNA from 1 species